rnacentral:rRNA from 1 species
CCUACGGGAGGCAGCAGUGGGGAAUAUUGCACAAUGGGGGAAACCCUGAUGCAGCGACGCCGCGUGAAGGACGAAGUAUUUCGGUAUGUAAACUUCUAUCAGCCGGGAAGAAAAUGACGGAACCUGACGAAGAAGCCCAGGCUACUUACGUGCCAGCAGCCGCGGUAAUACGUAGGGGGCACGCGUUAUACUGAUUUACUGGGUGUAAAGGGAGCGUAGGCGGUGCAGCAAGUCAGAAGUGAAAGCCCGGGGCUCAACUCCGGGACUGCUGUGGAAACGGGUGUACUAGAUUGCAGGAGAGGUAAGUGGAAUUCGUGGUGUAGCGGUGAAAUGCGUAGAUAUUAGGAGGAACACCAGUGGCGAAGGCGGCUUACUGGACUGUAAAUGACGCUGAGGCUCGAAAGCGUGGGGAGCGAACAGGAUUAGAUACCCCUGUAGUC